UUAUAGAACUUUGUUUUUCAUUUCAGAUAUCUCUCUCAUAGAAUCACUUUUCUAAGGGCUUUAUCCCAAAAUAGUUUAGUCAAAAUUGCUUAAUCAAAAUCUCUUCAUGACAUCUCCUCAUCAGUUUCAUUUCAAUCACUCUCACAUCUUCAUCACAAUCGCUCCUCUUCGCAAUCCCUUCAUCGAAAUUGUUCUGGUUAACUUCUUCAUCGCAAUCUCAUUCUGUUCCAAUCGCUGAGUAAGAUUUUGGAUUUUUUGGGUUAAUUCUUCUGAUUUGAUGAGGUAAUUUUUGAUGUUUAAGUUAAGGUGAUGUGAUAAUAAAUCCAAUUUAUAACUUGAUAUUUCUAGGUUUAUUUGAUUUGAUUUGAUUUUAAGUUGAUUAUUAACUUUGGUUAAGAAAUUUACUUUUCUAGGUUAAGUUGAUUCUGAUUUGAUGCAGUUGACAUUUUCUAAGUUAAGUUGAUUCUGAUUUUUGAUGUAAUUGAGAUUUUAUCGAAUUCGGUAACCACCGCCAUCAGAGCAUCAAGAAUGCAGCGGCAUUGAACUUCCAAUUGCAGUUGAAGCUUGUUCAUUAUUCUUUAGCAAGAUCUGCCAAUGACUUCAAGCGUGAUUGAUGGCUUGCACCAAGAUGGGAACAGUGGCAUCUGAGUCUUGGUGUCGCUAAGCCAGUGAAAUGAGAUACUGCAUUCUUUGUGAAUCAAUGCUUGUCUGAGUCCUUUCUGCCAGGGACUUGUUUUGUAGCCUAGAGGAUUCAGAAAAAGAGGUACAAGUCAUCUAUUUGGUGAAAGUAUAUGUGAUUUUGGCAUGUCCUGUGUUGGGAAGAUAUAUCAAAAGAUGUUUCCCUAUUCCUACCAUCAAAGUUACUUGGUGGGGAGCUCUGUUCUUGGAGGUCUGACUUGACAGUUCCAUUUUCUAGAUUUGCAGAUAUGGAUGGUAAAACUCUUGUUCCACUUAUAAUGAUCUAUGCUGGUUACCAUGAACUUAUAAGCCACUGGUUGAGGACUCACUGUGUUGUAGAACCAUUUGUGAUUGCAACAAAUAGGCAACUUAGCACCAUGCAUCCAAUCUACAAGUUACUGCAUCCACAUCUCAGAUAUACCUUGCAGAUAAACGCACUUGGACGCGAGAUUCUUAUUAGUUCAUAUGGAGUCAUUGAAAGCACAUUCUUUACUAAAAAGUAUUCAAUGGAAUUAAGUUCUGUGGCUUAUGAUAAGCUUUGGCAAUUUGAUUUGCAGGGACUACCAAAUGAUCUUCUCCAUAGAGGAAUGGCUGUGGAAGAUCCUAGUGCACAACAUGGACUAAAGCUAGCAAUUGAAGUAUAUCUUCCCAACAUAUUGUUAGUUUAGCUUGUUAAGUUCAUGUACAUUUAUACUUUUUUGCUUUCUUUUUAAUGAGCCGGGCCCAUCUGUCUUUCUUCUGACCGUAUUAUUUACUUUUGGUGCUUUUAACUACAGUGUGUCUAUAUUAGGAAUUGGUUUCAAUUUGUGUAUAGUGAUCUUAAUAUUAAUAAGAAUUUGAGAUUGAAUUAAUUGUUGUGUUUUACUUA